AAGUCGUAACAAGGUUUCCGUAGGUGAACCUGCGGAAGGAUCAUUAAAACGUAUCCAACGUUAACCAACUGUGAACUUGUUUCUCCCUUGACUUAGAGAAAUUGGAGCUGUGAAUGAAAUUGAGUGGGAUCCCUUAAACAAGGAUCGGUCAUUUACAGUCACUGAUAUUUUUCGGAAUAUCGACAAUAUUAUCUUUGUUGAGGCUAUUCCUUCUGUUUUCAUCCUCCAUUCAAAGGUGAGACAGUUGGUCACUAUACACUAUAAUCACCCCUUUUUGCUAGUUGACUUUUUUAAUGUUGAUAUUUAUGAAAAUAGAUGUCACACGUUUCAUUAUUUGAACGUAAAAUACAACUCUUAGCAAUGGAUAUCUUGGUUCUC
rnacentral:misc_RNA from 1 species